UCCCGCUUAGCUCAGUGGUAGAGCGCAUCACUAGUACUGCUUCCCAACGUGGGAGAGUGCGAUGAUGAGGUCAGUCGUUCAAGUCGGCUAGCGGGAA